AUGAAUAUCGCUCUCCUCUCCCGAUGGCUAUGGCGCAUCUCGCAAGGGCAUGGUGGGUUGUGGCUAGACAUCAUCCGGAACAAGUACCUGUGUGGCCAACCUUUGGCCUUCUGUCAACGGUCUGGUGGAUCCCAAUUUUGGCAGUCUGUGAUCCAACUGCUCCCCGUUCUCCGUAUUGGGACCUCCAUUUCGGUGGGAACGGGUUCAGCGACCCUGUUCUGGUUCGACCGAUGGGCGGGAGACUCGCCCUUCGCGGCCCGGUUUCCCGAGAUCUUCUCCAUCGCUGUCGCCCCGACGAUCUCAGUUGAAUGGGCCCUUAUUGACUUAGGGCGCCUUGCUUUCCGGAGGCCAUUUGGGCCUCCGGAAACUGCCGCUUGGGAGGAGCUUCUUGAUUGCAUCGCCCUCCACGAGCCGGACGUCGAUGCUAGCCCGGACCAAGUUCGGUGGCGCCUUGACCCUUCGGGCCAAUUCUCCACCAAGUCCCUCUACUCGGCCAUCGCUCCCUCCUCCGCCCCGUCCCCCCUCCUGGCGGUAUGGCCCAUCCAUCUGCCUCUGAAAAUACGGAUCUUCAUGUGGCAAUGGAUCCGCGGCCGGCUCCCUUCUGGAGUGGAGGUCCGCAAGCGCAAUGGUCCAGGCUCCGGUCUGUGCCCGCUCUGUGGUGUCCCCGAGGGCUCGAAUCACAUCUUUUUCGCCUGCAUAUCUGCCCAGUUCGUCUGGAGCUGUUUUAGAGAGGCGGUGGGGGGGGGGGGGAAUUGGUGCCACACCAAUUUCCCCGACCUAUUCGCUGAACUCCAGAACUCCCCCCUGCCCACUCGCCACAUUAGGUGGCUUGAGAUUGGCGUUCUUGCGUGGACCCUAUGGAUGAUUCGCAACAAACUUUUGAUUCAGCGCACUCCGCUUCGUCGGGCUACCGACGCUAUUUUUAAACCGUCUGGUUGCUUGCAGCUUUGGCGGCCGCUUAGCCGCCCUCGAGACCGGGACGCCAUCUCCGCCUUCAUCACCGACCUUCGAUCGAUGGCUGUCCGCCUAUCGCCGCCGCCCCCUCCGCCUCCUCCAGAGCCUGAUUAG
rnacentral:rRNA from 1 species